UACGGAGGGUGCAAGCGUUAUCCGGAUUCACUGGGUUUAAAGGGUCCGUAGGCGGUUUAGUAAGUCAGUGGUGAAAGCCCAUCGCUCAACGGUGGAACGGCCAUUGAUACUGCUGAACUUGAAUUACUGGGAAGUAACUAGAAUAUGUAGUGUAGCGGUGAAAUGCUUAGAUAUUACAUGGAAUACCAAUUGCGAAGGCAGGUUACUACCAGUUUAUUGACGCUGAUGGACGAAAGCGUGGGGAGCGAACAGG
rnacentral:rRNA from 1 species